UGUUCAAAAUAUUCAGGGGGUUGUUAAACCUAUUUUAUGGUCACAAACCAUAAAACUGUAUGAGAAACUGUUGAUUAAUUUUCUAUAAAAGCAGUUCUAGCAGGUUGAUAUUAAUGCGCUCGUUCUAAUACGUUAUCGUUGCUAUGGUAACAGCUCAUUCACAGGAAUUUGUACGGCGGACACUCCACAUAAACACUUUUUUUUGCUAUGGUGACAUUUUCUGUGAGGAGAAAGGUGUUUAUUUAACAUUUAUGGACGGAGAAUGAAAAUGAAACAAUCGUUGCAAUCCUUGGAAAAUUGGUGGUGUAGGAGGAAUAAUACAUUUCAGGAUGUGCUGUUCUACGAAAUUCCGCUUCACACAGCAUUCCAUCGUUGAUUAUUUUCCUAUAACAGCACGAGUUUUGUAGUUACCUUCCCGGAAUAUAGACAAGAAUCAAGAAGAGCUUUGAAGGACAAAAAUAUAUAUACCUGUUGGCCAUCACACUGACAACAGGUAGUUUUUUUCACGCACUAUUUGAGACAAUUUGUUCCAUGUGCUCUUAAUCUCAACUAGACAGUCAAGACCAAUCACACUGCCGUCUCCUUAUAUCUCUGAGUAAUGACUGGAACAUAAAAGAAAUACAAAUGCAAAAGUUCAUGAUCCCUCAGUCUCUCGCUAUCCGUCAUCACUCUUAGAGUAAGCCAUGCUAAGUGCUCACUCAGGAAGUUAUGCAUGGUAGAUAACAGAGUGAAACAGAGGUGGGGUCAGCGUGCCUGGCCAAAACUCCUGGAGCCCAACCCGAGCGAAGUUACUAAUUAAUAAACGCCGGGAAAUGGCCGGGAUAUCCCUUCCGUGCAUGAAAUUAGGACUUUAUCUAUAGUCUCCAGGCACUUAGCCCCGGGGGAUGGAUUCAUGGACGCAAAUAUUAGAAAACAAAGAACCUCCAAAACAGCAUCACUGGCUAAUCACCUUUCCAUCCUCUACCCCAUUGUAUUGAUGAACAAUACGAGCGUGCCGGGACAACAAAGAUUCUGUUGCAACUGAUCACGGAUGGAUUGUAAAUCCUGCAUAUCUUAAUCCCAACUAUUUCUCUCUUCCUUCCCUGUAAAUCCCAUUCUCACUAUAAACUACACUUCCUGCUCAGGUGCACGCGUUCAGACCUUGGACUCGUCUGUCCCACACAAAACAGAGUGUCCCAAGGAAGCAUGUAGUUGAAUAAAGUCCUGUGCCUAAGAACUCCCUCAGCUCUCUGCCCCUUAGUCUUCCCACAGCCCGGCUGCCAAGCCGACACACAUUUUCCUGGCUGCGUUUCAGGAAAGUGCUGCUCCAAGCAGAAAGAUGGAAACUUCAGGGUUGAGUUUGCCUGGAUACAAUAAAACACACACAAACAGUGCCGAGUGAUUCAGAACGAAUCACACAGGGUCUCCUUUAUCGCGCAGGGCUUACCCUCUGGGUAGUUUCUUUUUAUCAAUCCUCAGUACUCAUAAGUAGCAGUUCCAGGUGAUUAAAAAAGCACAUAGCCAAGACUUUAGCCUUCAAGGCUCCAGCGUGUCAGAGCAUAUACCUAAAAAUGCCCACUAGCACACUGUCAUCCAGAAUCCAACUCACUCUACAAGGGAACACAGCUACUCAGUUUCUUUUUUUCCUUAUUUGGGCUAAAUGAGUCAUUCCUGCCCUGGAAAACAGAGUUCCCUUCACCCACAGAAAUGCUCAGAAGUCUCUGUCUACUGUUUACUGCAGAGGAGAAGAGAAUGUCAGGAACUUGCACAGCCAAAGCAACCGUAAACAGGAGAGGAGGAAGCUUUAUACAGGAGCACACAGAUCCUAUAAGACCUGGUGGAAACGUCUCACCAUGUUAAUAAACACUGACGUCUGAAAGGAAGUGCGGGGAUCUGCCUCAAACGUGCCACGGACAACAACUAGUCUAGAAAGGAUCCAUUAAACACAAAAAGUUUUUGACCCUGACCUCAGGAAAUGUUAUGUUGUUGUAAGUGGCACACUUUGAUCGUUUUGCUAGGAUUUACCACAAGCAAGGGAUGUCUUUUGUUUGUUUGUUUUUAAGUUCAUGGUGCCGGUUGAAUUCCAGAUUCUGAUUGGCCAGAAGGUGUUGAUUCAUUUUCAAUAACAACAGAGUCAAGAGAGAGGGUAAAAGAGAGAUUAGUUCAAGGAAUGAAUGUUUAUAGCAAUACAGUUUAUACCCAAGUGAGAAAGACGUGCGAAGAGAGACAGAGCGUGUGUGAGAGAGAUAAAGAGAGAGAGAGACAGAGAGAGAGAGAGAGAGAGAAAGACAAAGAGUGGGAGGGAGAGAGAGAAAGAGAUCUGUCUCUCUGUGUUUAACUUGCGCCUACUUCCAGGAACCUGACCUGUGAAGCACAUUUUGUCAACACCACAACCGCAACUUCAGCUCUCUCCAAAAACACAUCACUCUGGCUGUACCAUGUUGCCAUGACAGCACCGGAUCCAUUAAGUCAUGCUGCGGUGGCCCACUCUUUCCUGCUGAAGUUUUUGACCAGGACACUCCAACUGUACUGUACUGUACUGUUUACAGACAUGCUGAAACAUUGUGCACAUGUGCUACCACAUUGUUUAGAGAUUUAGAGGUACGGAGGUACUAAUGUUAAUCUCUCAAUACAGCCUUAAACCGAAACCGAGAGAACGUUUACAGAGAGAGAGAGAACUGCAACAGGCACUGUGAUGAUAGGAAGAAGGACUAGCCAGGGGGCGUGGCCAGACCUUUUACUAUGAGUUACUGGCACGGAAAAAUUGGAAAAAGCGCCUGUUCUUAUAAAUCUGGAGGAGACACAUCCAGUCUGGUCACUGUGUGUCAUGAUGAAAGGAAAUGCCUGAGCAGUGAUGAACAGCUCAACACUACGCCUCUUAGAAGAACCCAGAGAACUGACGAGUGAAGAGUUGCAGCUCAUGAAUCUAAUUAGCCAGAUACCAGCACUGAAGUAGCAUUAGCAGACAAUUAGCGUAGUAAUGCUAGCGUUCCCUGUAAAGGAUUCCUCACCCAUGUGUAGGCCUGCAGCUGCCUCUGUUCCCUCACACACUGUAUGUUUGAUCUCAGACACAAAAGCGCUUGCUGUCAUAUGCAUCUGCUGUAAACGAAAGCAGAACCAGAUGUUGAGAGGGAAUAUGAAAUGAUGUCACUGAGCUAAAAUAAGCCGAGGACACCCCUGAGCCUCAGUGGGAAAAUUCCUCCUCCUCCUCCUCCUCCUCCUCCUGUACAUGGACGACUGCUACACAAUUGAAAUUAAGUCUAUAAACCUUUCCUGUUUGGGACAUGCCCACUUCCUCUGGCUCUCAGUGUCCUCACAGAAAUGACAGCUGUUUUUUUUUUUUUUGUAUUAGCCGUGUGAAAACCAUGUCUUGGAGAGAAGUCUGCUGUUGAAGCGUGACACCGUCCUCACACAUGAACUCAUCACCUCUCGGAAGCUAAGAUGGCAUGAAAUGGUUGAGAAAUGUUCCAGUUAGGCCUGGAGGACCCGCUGAAGGAACAUUAAUCUUCAGCAAUGAGGCACAGAGAUGUAUAAGUGCAAAACAGAAUAGAGCUAAUACACUAUGUGCUCAAGGUGUAGAAAGACAAAGAAAUAUGGCUGAGAGGGGGAAAAAAAGCCACAUGACUGACAGGCAUGCUUAGCUUAAUGAGGGCGGAGUUUAAGUUCAAUUUGAUCAUUCAACCACAAACACUUUCAUAGCGUGUCAACACAAUAUGCAGCAUAGCAUUAAACACACAACUUCCAGCUAAGUGUUGAGUGUGCUAAUGUUAGCCAGCUAAUUAUUUACCUUAGCUAAUAUACCCUCUCCAAAAGUAGCUUUCUGACAGUAGCUAGCUUGUAAAACUAGACACUAUUACGGUAGGUAUUAUUUUAUUUUGUUAAGUUUUAUAUAAUUAGGGAAGUUUGUUAAUAGUAGGCUAAGCAUUGUACCAGGAAGUUAGGAUGCUAGUUAACAUCAACCAGCAGUCACUCCGGAUAAAGUCACGGCGGAUGAUGGAGUUGAAGCAAAAAUCAGGAAAUGAAUUCUCGGGUGUGUUUUUGGAAUGAAUGUGGUGAAACAGCUAAUAUUAGACAGCUAGCUAGUCUUGUUUUUGUUUUUUGCAACUAUGAUUGUGUGAGAAGUGAUGUUAGGGAAAUAGCAGGACAAAACCUGACCCUUGCAUGACCAUGAUAUAACAAUUAGUAAUUUUAUUUUUAUUUAAAAAAAAUUUUCAAGGAAAUGAAACUGCUUGCUAUAAUCUUACUUAUGAAUUGGCUCACAUUUCCAAGGUUCGUGAAUUUCCGAGGUCAAAGUUCACGUAAAUUCGGUUCUUCCUAUCAUCCAUUUCCAUGGAAAGCAAAUUACCGUUUUCAGUCCGCAAAUUUUAGUUGCUUUCGGUCUGACCUCUGCUUUUGAAGCUAGUGUUUCAUGCUAAGCGGUACGUUGUGCUAAAAAAGGUUGGUGGUGAUAUGAUCAAGUUUUGAUUAAGCCACAGAUGCAUGUCAAUCAACAAAAACAGGAAAUAGAACUGUCCAAAGAAAAAGAAAGAGUCCCUGGUUUGAUCCUGAUCUUGAUUUACUAUCAGUGUGGAGUUUCUCAGGUUUGGUCUCUCUCUGCUUGGGUUCCUCUGGGUUCUCCAGGGUCCUCCUACCUCCCUAAAACAUACCUUUUGGUGGAUUGGUAACUCUAAAUUGCCUCUAGGUGUGAAGCAGUGUGUGUGGUGCAUUGCCAUGGAUCCACCACAACCCUGCCCAGGAUAAAGAGCUCACUGAAGAUGAAUGAAAGAAUAAAUGAUUGCUGGAAUGUUGUGGUGGAUCAGUUUGUGCAUUUUGAAUGCAUGAAUAAACUAACGACCGAAUAAAUAAAGUGAGUGAAAGAAUAAACUAUAACAAUGUGAUGGGUUUUUUUCAGCAGUGUGGAGUCAUUAGAAGCGGCAGCGAUGAAUCAGCUCAGCCCAGAUGAAGCUCUGGAUUCAGGAUUAAAAACCCAGAUCAGCUUUAAACAAUAGAUAGGUUUAUUUCUAAGACGGGUUGGUCUGCUGGAAUCCGUGGAAUGUCUGCAGCAAACAUUAAAAACAAUCUACUCGGCUUCACGGGGGUGGAGUGAUAUGAAUCAAACCUUGUUUUCAAAGCAAGCACCUGCACCUUUUUUUUUCUUUUUAUUCCAUCUGGAAGAUGUUAGAAAAGCACUUUAUAUCCAUGGGCGUGGCAUUAUUUUUCCUUUUCCACUUUUCCACUGUCUUUCCAUUUUUCUCCUCGCCUUCCGACACGUCCAGCACGAUGGAAUGAGGACACAGAUGUGUGAAGGCUACGUCCGACUAUCACAACAGUAGCAGCUUUCCGAACAUCGUCGAAGUACAGAAUACCAUGCGAUACCUCCUGCAGCUCCAUGGAGCUCAUUGUUAGGGCCUAAAAUUUAUUACACAGAAAGACAGAGAGAGGCGCCGUUGCCAUUGAUGCAUCUGUGGGAAAGACAUUCAGGGCCUUCAAAAAAAGAAGAUGUCUUUUUAUCACCCUGCUAGCACACUGAUACCAGUCGCCCCCUGCUAAGGAUAUCUUUCCAGGCAUUGCAUAUAAAGUCGGAUUAGAAAUUGAAAAGACGAGUGUGUUCGAACGAGCAUCCCCUCCCUAGAACAGGCAUCAGAGAGAGGAAUUUUCCAGCCCAGCACUGAAAGAGGUCGAGUGUGAUGAGUGGUCAAUUUCACAGCCUCAUCUGCAACCAGGGGGAAAAAAAGGAGUAAAGGGAGCAAGGGAGUGCCUAGACGUUCCCUCUGUCGAGUUUAAUUUAUUGUGUAAUACAAGACUUGCUCAAUAAAGAGUUUGCUCGAUGCAACUUGUAGCCAGAGGGCAGCAAUUAGUGCAGGGUUCGGUCUCUGCAUGGCUGAGGUUGGAAAAAUUGCAAGACGAGAUAUUUCUUUGCGAUACUCACAUGUUUGUCAUCUAAAUUUCUAUGUGUUUCCUAGUUGUAUGAACUUGCAUUCACAAGUAUUCACCCCCCCCCCCACACACACACACAUUUUGUACUGUUACAACCUGGAAAGUGUGAAAGUGUGGGGGUGAAUACUUAUGCACUGUAAAUACUGUACACUAACUAGGCUAAUGCCAUUGUGAGUGUGAUUACACACACUGUUUCCCCUCUCACCCAGUAAAAAAAAAACACUCCGGUUUAGCACAUUGAUGUCAAAGGUUCCAUGCUGUUGCCUGGAGGUGUUGUGCUGCAGGCAGUGUCCUCUUCGCUUCACAAACAUUCGCAUUCAUUAUCUGCUCAAAAGGAGAGAUCUGUUACAGGAUUUUAAAAAAUGUUUUAAAAAGAUUACAUUAAAUCAAUAAAGGUUCUUUUCAAGCCAAUGAUCUUGAAAACCACAGCAACAACAGUGCUCCUGCUAACAGUGCAAAUACUCAGAUCUUCCUCAUGAUGAGAUUACAGCUAAAGAAAUGCAACUACAGUAUACAGUAUAUUCCAGACAUUUUUACGCAAGAAGAUUUUGUUUUGUUUUUGUUUUGUUUUUUGCAAAAUGCACUCUUCAGGGAAAAAAAAGUAUUUUUUCCAGGUUAAUGGUUCUGCCCCUCUGAUUCUUUAAAGAAAAACCCUCUGUAUGGUUCCAGCUAAAACUUUUAAGGGCUCCAAUAUGAUGACAGUUGGAACUCUUGUUUCUUUUUAGUAUUAUUACUACGGCUACUGUUGCUACUACUAUUACUAUUACUACUACUGUUAUUAUUCCUACUUCUACUAACACUACUAUUAUUACUAUUGCUACUACAACUCCUACUACUGAGUACAACUACAAACUCUCAGUUGGAAGGUCUAUAUAGAACUUUUAAGGGUUCCCCUAGAACGCAUUAUGAUGCUAGUUAGAACUGUUGAUUCUUAUUGUCUACUACUAUUAUUAUUAUUAUUAUUGCUACUACUACUCCUACUAUUACUACUAUUAUUGUUACUACUAAUACCUCUACUAUUACUAUUGCUGUUAUGUCUACUAUUACUAUUACUGCUACUAAGACUACUACUGCUGCUGCUGUUGCUGCCACAACAUCUACUAUUAUUAUUGCUACUUCUACUACUAAUAGAACUACUAUAACUAUAAUUACUAUUACAAUUACUAUUACUAUUACUAUUACUACUGCAACUACUACUAUUAAUACUGCUAUUAUUACUAUUGCUACUACUGC